ACAUCACCUCAACAGCUAGCCCGCCUUAAUAAACCAACAACCCCCAUUAAUACCCCCACAUACAAGAACUCCACCCAACAAACCAUUUUUCCCCCCUAGUAUGGGAGACAGAAAAGGAAUAUAAGCGCUAUAGAGAAAGUACCGCAAGGGAAGGCUGAAAGAGAACUGAAACAACCCAGUAAAGGAUAAAAAAGCAGAGACUUACUCUCGUACCUUUUGCAUCAUGACUUAGCUAGUAUUCUCGAGCAAAAAGACUUGUCAGUUCGAAACCCCGAAACUGAGCGAGCUACUUCAAGACAGCCUAUCAUAGGGCAAACCCGUCUCUGUUGCAAAAGAGUGGGAAGAGCUUUGAGUAGAGGUGACAGACCUACCGAGCCCAGUAAUAGCUGGUUGCCUGAGAUUUGAAUAGAAGUUCAACCUUUUGAGUUCUUCCACCAAAACAGGAUUUUCCCCCUAAAGAUAAGAAGUAAUCAAAAGAGCUAUUCGAGGGAGGUACACCUCUCUCGAACGAAGACACAACUUUUACAGAAGGCUAAAGACUAGAUCAAACAAGGCACUGUGCCUGCGUGGGCUUAGAAGCAGCCAUCACAGUAAAAAGCGUUAAAGCUUAAGCACGCAACCACCACGAUUCUAGCAACACCCUCUUACACCCCUAGAAAUAUCAGGCCUUUCCAUGCAGUCAUGGAAAAGACGCUGCUAAUAUGAGUAAUAAGAAGGCCUCGCCCUUCUCCUUUGCCCCAGUGUGACCAGAACAGACCCUGACUGGAAAUUAACGCCCUCAAACCAAGAGGGCCCUGAGCCAUACCACUAAAACUAGAAAACCCCUCAAACCCAAGCGUAAGCCCCACACUGGUGGGCCCAAGGAAAGACAUAAGGAAAAAGAAGGAACUCGGCAAACACUAGCCUCGCCUGUUUACCAAAAACAUCGCCUCUUGCAAGCUUAGUAUAAGAGGUCCCGCCUGCCCUGUGACAUAAGUUUAACGGCCGCGGUAUUUUGACCGUGCGAAGGUAGCGUAAUCACUUGUCUUUUAAAUGAAGACCCGUAUGAAUGGCAUAACGAGGGCUAAGCUGUCUCCUUUAUCUAGUCAAUGAAAUUGAUCUCCCCGUGCAGAAGCGGGGAUUUUACCAUAAGACGAGAAGACCCUGUGGAGCUUUAGACCCACGGCAGCCUAAGUUAAAGACCCUUUAUCACAAGGAUAAAACAAAGUAGCCCCUGCCCGGUGUCUUUGGUUGGGGCGACCGCGGGGAAGAGACAAACCCCCGCGCGGAACUGGGAUUACCCCCAAAACCAGAGCCACAGCUCUAGUAAUCAGAAUUUCUGACCACUAAGAUCCGGCAACGCCGAUCAACGGACCGAGUUACCCUAGGGAUAACAGCGCAAUCCCCUUUUAGAGCCCAUAUCGACAAGGGGGUUUACGACCUCGAUGUUGGAUCAGGACUUCCUAAUGGUGCAGCCGCUAUUAAGGGUUC
rnacentral:rRNA from 1 species